rnacentral:rRNA from 1 species
ACAAUGAAGAGUUUGAUCCUGGCUCAGGAUGAACGCUAGCUACAGGCUUAACACAUGCAAGUCGAGGGGCAUCAGGAAGAAAGCUUGCUUUCUUUGCUGGCGACCGGCGCACGGGUGAGUAACACGUAUCCAACCUGCCCUUUACUCGGGGAUAGCCUUUCGAAAGAAAGAUUAAUACCCGAUGGCAUAAUGAUUCCGCAUGGUUUCAUUAUUAAAGGAUUCCGGUAAAGGAUGGGGAUGCGUUCCAUUAGGUUGUUGGUGAGGUAACGGCUCACCAAGCCUUCGAUGGAUAGGGGUUCUGAGAGGAAGGUCCCCCACAUUGGAACUGAGACACGGUCCAAACUCCUACGGGAGGCAGCAGUGAGGAAUAUUGGUCAAUGGGCG